CAGUUCCGAAAAUCUUUUAUAAAAUUCGUCCAACCUAGCGGUUUCUACGAAUGAAACGUGUAGAAACCGUUCCGCUAUUCCCUCUUCUUUUCUGAAGACUUGCACAGACGGUUUUCAGGAACUGAUCAUCUGAAAAUUCUCAUUCUCAAACUUUAUAUUCUGCUAUUUUCUCCUUUCGUUUCACAACCAUUCAAAAAAACUCUAAAAACCUUCUCUGUUAAAGUUCUUCAAGUAUUCAAGUUUUAGUUGCUGCCAAGAAAUCAAGAAUUCUUGUGCGGCGCAAUUAGGAUCUCUAUCCCCGAGUUAAGCAUUAGUCAAGUUUACUACCAAGGAUUUGAGGCGAGGAGCAGGGAGAUGCGUGAUGGAUGUGUGUGGUGCUUAGGAUAUUUUAAUCAUGCUUUCUAUAGUAUUAUUAAAGACUCUUUGUUGGUUAAGAAAAAUUUAGGAUUUGAAGUAAGUUUAUUUUGAUGGUAAAGUUUAAGAAUUUCUAGUGAAUCAUAUUUGACUUUCUUAUAUAAUGUUAGGUACUUUGAUAAAUUAGUGUUAUGUUUUCAAUCUAGUGUGUAUGGUAUUUUUCUAAAAAUGAUAUUUGGUUGUUUUACCUUCGAUUA